rnacentral:lncRNA from 10 species
GAGACUCCGAGAGCCGCUCUCCCAGGCUCCCCGCUGCAGCGGCGGGGCUGCCAGGGGCGGCACACUCCAGCGCCAGCCAGAGAGCUAGCGCCGCUUGAGGCCGGCCGGGGACGAGGCGCUUUACACUGCCUGAUGGGUACUAGCAGCCCACCCCAGCCAGAUGGAGGACAAGGCCUCUCCAAGUCUCAAGGAAAUGCACAAUCCUUCCUUACCUCUGGCCUCAGAACUCUCAGCAUCUCAUUGAUUAGCAACCUCAUCUGUGGCAAAUCUAAGGAACACCUUCUACUUAAAAUUGAAGUCUUCUGGGCUGGGUGUGGUGGCUCAUUCCUGUAAUCCCAGCACUUUGGGAGGCCAAGGAGUGCGGAUCACGAAGUCAGGAGUUCGAGACCAGCCUGGCCAACAUAGUGGAACCCUGUCUCUACUAAAAAUACAAAAAUUAGCCGGGUGUGGUGGCACAUGCCUGUAGUCCCAGCUACUCGGGAGGCUGAGGCCUCUGAGCCCAAGCUAAGCCAUCAUAUCCCCUGUGACCUGCACGUACACAUCCAGAUGGCCGGUUCCUGCCUUAACUGAUGACAUUCCACCACAAAAGAAGUGAAAAUGGUCUGUUCCUGCCUUAACUGAUGACAUUGUCUUGUGAAAUUCCUUCUCCUGGCUCAUCCUGGCUCAAAAGCUCCCCCACUGAGUACCUUGUGAUCCCCACUCCUGCCCACCAGAAAACAACCCCCUUUGA